CGGGCAACCAAUGGUUGUUGGACUGGAAAAUCCAAGUGGAUUGUCUUGCACUGCGCCCAGCUCCUGUGGUUUCCUUUGGAUGGAUGAAAAUAACACGCCCGCCAAUUUCAGCACCUUCUCCGGAUCCAAAAUACCAGAGUUGAAAGGGGAUGUUGAAUCACGUUGCGUUGGAAUCACGGACUCUGGGAACUUUGAAACCGUCCUUUGCUCUGAUGAGAUGACCUCGUUGUGUCAACUCCAAUGCCCAAGAGGUAUUUAUUUAACUUCAAACGUCGAAUGACUCCCUUACUACCAUUUUAUGUAAAACCUUUCAGGGGUGGAUACUCAAUUUACUGACUGCUUGACUUUGGAACACUUUGGUCCAGAUCAUGUUUUGGUAGCAAGUAAAUGCACGAUACAAGCUGGAUUUGUUUGUUCCAAAGAUCAAGACGUGAAGCCAACUCUGCUGGAAAAUAUGGCCGAACCUGUGGUCUUGGCGCCACUGAACAAGGCUCUAGGUUCGAAAGAUAUUUCCAAACAGGGAAUUGUUCUCGAAGACCAUUUUGUGGGCUAUGCUUCCCUUUGGGCAAAGAGCCGAUUGAUCGGAUAUCCAAUGUUGGGUGGGCAAUCCAUGAGUGGAUUAAGCUACAUUGAGAUCAAAUCAGGUCCAGAGAAGUUCGUGUCUGGAACAGGAUUGACAGUCAUGUUUUGGCUCAAAAUUGAUCAAAGCCCAAUGGACAAUUUCCCUUUACUGGACUUUCGAAACCCAAAAAAUCCCAGGAAUGGGUUCAUGUUGGGCUGGAGCGAGGGCAACCUCGAAGUCAUUUCAAAAGGGGAGGUUGUUUUCAAAGGGUUAAAAACAUAUCAAGUGACAAAAGCUGGCGAAUGGAACUUUGUAGCCUUCUCAUUUGAUGAAAUCAAGGAUGAAGGCACAUUCUAUAACGGAGACAAAUUUGGAUACAACCAAAACGAAAU